rnacentral:rRNA from 1 species
UUAAUAUAAGAGUUUGAUCCUGGCUCAGGAUGAACGCUGGCGGCGUGCUUAACACAUGCAAGUCGAGCGAAAAUAAUUAGGAGCUUGCUUUUAAUUAUUUUAGCGGCGGACGGGUGAGUAACGUGUGGGCAACCUGCCUUUUACUGUGGAAUAAUCACUGGAAACGGUGACUAAUACCGCAUACGGUUCUUAGGAGGCAUCUUCUAAGAAAGAAAGGAUUUAUUCGGUAAAAGAUGGGCCCGCAUCUGAUUAGCUAGUUGGUGAGAUAAUAGCCCACCAAGGCAACGAUCAGU